UACGUAGGGGGCAAGCGUUAUCCGGAUUUACUGGGUGUAAAGGGAGCGCAGACGGCCAAGCAAGUCUGAAGUGAAAUGCAUGGGCUCAACCCAUGAAUUGCUUUGGAAACUGUUAGGCUUGAGUGUCGGAGAGGUAAGCGGAAUUCCUAGUGUAGCGGUGAAAUGCGUAGAUAUUAGGAGGACACCGGAGGCGAAGCGGCUUACUGGACGACAACUGACGUUGAGGCUCGAA
rnacentral:rRNA from 1 species